rnacentral:lncRNA from 3 species
UUGGGAGGCCGAGUCAGGUGGAUCACCUGAGG